rnacentral:lncRNA from 1 species
CAACACUGGAGCCGAAGUCAACAUCAUGGCUAAGGUAACCUAUGAAUUUCUAUAUGGAAAGAUGUCAUUGCAUUCCACAUUUGUGCAGCUGUAGAUGGCGGACCAAAUCUACUGGUUUCCAGAAGGAAUUGCCAAGGACAUACCAGUACAAAUUGAUGACCACUUCAUCCCUAUUGACUUCCUAGUCUUAGACAUGGGAGAAGAAGACUAUGAUCCACCGAUCAUCCUUGGAAGACCGUUCCUCAACACUACUCGAGCGAUCAUCUACAUCGGGAUCGGAGAAGCCCACUUCCAAUUCCCAUUGGAAAAGGUACACCGUUAUUUUACUAACUAUGAAGUGAGUGAAGAACCCUAGAAGAACAGGUCAAGAAGGAGGCGUUGUUCUCAAUGCCAAAAGAAAUAAAUCCCUAAGGACGAAUGGGCUGACUAUGAAGGAGAGGUAACAAGACAUGAAGAUUUGUUCCUAGAGAAGGACACCAUAGAAGAAGUAAAUGAAGACAUCAUUAAAGACGAAGCUCCCUCAUCGAAGUCUACCUCACCAGCCAAUAAGGUAUGGGUUCAAAGAGCUAUAAUUAUUUCUGACUCACCAGCGUAGGAAGAAGAGCCAAUGGAGUCACCGGAUAAGACAUCCGGAGUGACUGAAGAAAACUAUGCGAAGGGAGACAUCCUGUUAGGCGGAUACAAAACACCAAACCUUUGCCAAAAGGUAUAUUUGGUAGUUAUCCAUAUUUCCCUUUUCAAUGCUGCAUUAGUUUCCUUUAGAAGCAUGUUUAAUUUCCUCACAGUCAUAAUCAUUUAGUUCAACACCUUUUUGCAUUCAGAAUAGAAAAUAAAAAUACUCAUCAUGCAUAGUUUCCAAAAACAUUUACAAAAAUGCAAAGCCCCAUGUGAAUAACUUUGUGGCAAUCCAUAAAGAUUACUCACCGUGGUGGCACAAAAAUAAAUAGACUAGUUGCAUUUUCCCUUUAUGCAUUAUAAAUUUGAAAAUCCAUAAAAAUAUAAAAACAUUUAAAAUACUAAAUAGAAAAAAGAUCCUUGAUAUUAUGUGCUCAAUCAAUUGUUAGUUCUAGACACUCAUGGCUUAUAGGUUUAUCACUAACACUUAAUCCAGUUCCACAAGCUUUGUUGCCUAUUUGAGCUCCACAGAAUUUGAAGGAUCAAGAAGGCCGACGACCAAAGGAGGUAUCUUUGCUGACAAUCUACUACAUCAAGAGACCACGUCAACAUCCAGCUUGGUGGAGAGCAUACCCCCUAUAUGUAGCUAAGUGCUUGUUCCAUCUUUUGAAAUUUUGAAUGUGAAUUUGAAGUCGACUUAUCUAGAUUAUGAAAAUAAAUAAAAAGAUGAAUAAACAUUUAGAAACCAAAUAAAAAUUUCCCAACAUAUUUUCUAUAUGAUUUUAGAAUUGCUAAAGUAAAUAAAUAAAUAAAAGGUGAAGAUACAAGGAUUAAUUUUGCUUAUGCCAAACCAAAGCUUAACUCACAUGGAAAUGAUGAAUAGUUGCUCUGCGAGACUUUAUGAGUGCUUUGCUUUUAAACUCGAGCUGUCCCAAGUUUUAGACAACUAUUUUGAUUAAGAAUUUACUCCGAGCCUGAAACUUGUGGGUUGCAAUGUUUGAGCUUAAUUCUAGGUAGUUGUUUGAUAUGAUAUGAAAAGGUUUUAAGCUGCUAUUAAUCAUGUUCCUAGAGAUGCAGGACUUCUGGAGAGUUUAUCUUUUGAAAAACAUAAAAAUGCUGCAUGAUGAGUUCCAAUAUGAUGAAAGCUUGAAUUCCUACCACAGCCAGAUAUACAUGUCUUGUAGACUAGGAAAACACUUCACUAUCAUUUACUGCUUAUGGGCAUUGAGUUUUGUCAAGCUUUGUUGACCCUUAGGAACUAGUCAUGCUUUUUAAAAUAAAGAUCAUGUACACUCCUCCCAUUUAUGUUGCUUCUACACCGGAAGUACGCAUCCACCAUCAUUUCAUCUAGACCCACACAAAAUUGUUUUACUCCUACACUAGGAGUGAACACCAAAAACGUCCCAUUCAUUCAUCCAUUGCCAUUUAAUAAAGCUCCAAUUGUUUCUUGUUGCUACCUACCAUUUCAUUAUCCAGAAAAGAGAUUUGGGUGCUCUCUAAACGAAAAAGAGGACAAUGGUCCCAACGAAAAAAAGAAACAAAGAAAAAGAAAAAGAAAGAAAAAGAAAAAGAAAGAAAAAUAGAGCAACACAAACUCUCCCCAAAACUUCCAAUAAAGGUAGGUAUAUUUUCAAGGAGCAGAGGAUUCCAGUAUCAUCAUCACCAUACAUCCAUACCACACCUAUCUGCCAUCUAUUACAUUCCACUCCAUUAUAUACCACACACAUGCACAUCUUGACUUGAUUGUAUGACUUGAUUCUUUGGAUCCAUUGUUGACUUACAAUAUAUGUUCACAAGUAUGUAUGAGUUGUCUCCCCACCUAUGUGCUCCACAUAAGCCAUUUAGAUUUAAGAUGAGAGAGAGAGGGCACCUGACUAUGCCUAUAACAAAAACACCACAAACUUUGAGAGAAGAAAGAAGGCAGACAUCAUGAGUGCCUUGGAAAUACACAGGAAUCUCUGAGUUUUAUUUGAAAAUCUUGCAAAAACUCUAGAAUGAAAGUUGAUCAAAGAGCUUGAGACAUAGUGAUUGAGUUGACCAUUCUAUCCUUCAUCCACUCAAGACCAAGGUAAAAGAUAUAGGCCCCAUGGUGGAAGGUAAUAUGGGUAAGUCUAAGUCAUUACAGUUCAUUCUAAUCCAGAAGAAAGUUCUUGUUCAAAUGUAUGUGCAUUCUUGAAGUAUGAUAGCAUUGCAGCAACUUCUGAUCCUUUGCUGAGUUUUUCUUUGCUUAGGGAUGAGAAAAAAGAUAAGCUUGGGUGAGCUAGUUGACGGUACAUAAGUAUCAAAUUUAUAUCAACAAGAGAAUGGAAUAAAGGCAAGAAAUAAUCACCAACAAUAUAAUAGGGUUUCAACUAACAGAUUUCCACAGGUUUUGGUGAAUGUCUGUUUGUACAGGGGGUUAUCAGGAAAUAACCUUUGGAGGCCCACAUGUCAUGAUUACAUAGAGAGAAAAGAGAUAUCUACGCCAUGUAUACAAAAGAAGGAUCUAGAAGAGUUGGGAAGCCACUAGAACAAAGCGGAACACGAGCUGACCCCAAGCCAGGGUGGCCAAGGGGGGCGCCCACCAUCUCCUUGUCCAAUAAGGAGAGAGGCCGUGGAUCAUGACCUAAACUGACUUAGAGGAUCUCUAUUUUUUGUUCAUUAAGGUUGGUCUGAUCCAAGGGAUACGGUUCAUCCCACCGACCUAUAUAAGGAGGGGUAGACCCUAGUGUUUGGGGCAUCAAUUCAAGUUAGAGGUUGACCUCAUUCAUAGAAUUCAUUCUCUACUUUCUCCUCUAUAGAGCUCCAAGUUUAGAGGCAUAGCUACAUAGAAUAGAUCUAGUUG